rnacentral:rRNA from 1 species
UACAGAGGUCCCGAGCGUUGUUCGGAUUCACUGGGCGUAAAGGGUGCGUAGGUGGCCUAAAAAGUUUGAUGUGAAAGCUCGAGGCUUAACCCUGAAAUGGCAUUGAAUACUGUUGGGCUGGAGGUUUGGAGGGGGGACUGGAAUUCUUGGUGUAGCAGUGAAAUGCGUAGAUAUCAAGAGGAACACCAGUGGCGAAGGCGAGUCCCUGGACAACACCUGACACUGAGGCACGAAAGCCGGGGGAGCAAACAGG